GCCAUGACAACUUCUGUAAUCUGUCACCAGAGGAGUGUAACUGACUCAGAAAGUCCUGCUCCAACUCUUUGCUCUGUCCCACCUCUGCUGCUCUGCUUUGUGUAAACCCUGCUUGCUAUAUUCCCAGGGAAACUCCGAUGGAAUUAAGCCUCAUAGAUGUAAAAAGUGUCCAAUAACUAACUAACCAAAGACUGCCAUACUCUGCUUCUGCUUCCGUACCUCCUACUUGGAACCCUAUAAAACUGCCAGCCCACCGAUAUCCUGGGCCUGACCUCCUUGGGGAAAGAUCCCUGACAGGUCCACCGGUGAAAAUAAAGCUGUUUACUGCCUCCAUACCUCUGGGGGCCAUCUGUUUCCUGGUUCUGGUACUCUACAACAGUACUGUUCUGCUCAAAAACUCCUCCCUGUACUUUCACAGGAGAAAACGGACGUCUUUAGAGAUUAACUGCUUUGUCCCACCUUAUAUACUUAUAUAGCGGUGAAAUUGGGUCAGAACCAAAGUAUACUGAAUCCCAUUAUCUGUUGCUGUUUUAUGCUUCCGUAGUUGCAAAAAUUAGAUUAUAUAUAGUCUAUGGUCAUAAAAUCAAAUGGCUGUUCUCCUUUAAGGCAUUUCUUAAUGUCUAUUUCUAGCUCUUCUCUUUUGUCAUAGCCUUCUACACUAUCCUUUCAUUUUGGAAAUACCUGUGGCUGCAAAGAGAGACCCUCAGAAAGGACUCAGUUCCUAAGGCACUCGACUUCCAAAAGUAAAAGAACUGAGGACCAGAAACUGGAUUUGAAGACACCAUAUGAAGGGUUUUCUUGCAGUUAUCCGUGGAUGGACUUGGUCCUCUAGAAAGAUGAUCUCCUCCUGUUACUGUUGCGUCCUGAGGCCAGGUCACUUGUUCAGGUGCUAUGGAGGCAGGAAGAUAAUGCAGCUAAAAUAUGUGGGAAAGGAAGCGUGACAAGAUUCCAGAACACAUGCACGGAGCAGUUCUCAGAACCCUGCUUGUGGACUUCUUACAAGAACUGAAGCAGGAUUUUGGUAGGAUGACCUGGAUGUAAGUGAGCCCAGUGCGGGAACUAUAAAGAAGUCCACCACACCACAGCCUACCGCACUGUCUGGUAUAUUUUUAUUUUUUCCUCCUUUUUUACUUGGCUCAAAUUCAUUCUGCAGAGCCCAUUUUCCCCUAUCUUUCUGUUUUUUUCUUUACCUUUAAUAAAUGUGAAACUUUG